AAGGUCACCUUUUUAUUGAAGAUAGGUUGAAAGAACUGAUAAAAUACAAGGCAUACCAGGUCCCUCCAGCUGAGUUGGAGAGUAUACUUCAAUCCCAUCCAGAAAUUGCCGAUGCUGCUGUUGUUCCGUAUCCACAUGAAGAAGCAGGACAAAUACCUAUGGCAUUCAUCGUGAAGCAACCUAAUAGCACCCUCAACGAAGAGCAAGUAAUCGAUUUU
rnacentral:misc_RNA from 1 species